rnacentral:rRNA from 1 species
UACGUAGGGGGCAAGCGUUGUUCCGGAAUCAUUGGGCGUAAAGCGCGUGUAGGCGGUCCGGUAAGUCCGCUGUGAAAGUCGAGGGCUCAACCCUCGAAUGCCGGUGGAUACUGUCGGACUUGAGUACGGGAGAGGCGAGUGGAAUUCCUGGUGUAGCGGUGAAAUGCGCAGAUAUCGGGAGGAACACCAGUGGCGAAGGCGGCUCACUGGACCGGAACUGACGCUGAGGCGCGAAAGCGUGGGGAGCAAACAGG